AUUAAACGCUGGCGGCAUGCCUUACACAUGCAAGUCGAACGGCAGCACGGGGGCAACCCUGGUGGCGAGUGGCGAACGGGUGAGUAAAGCAUCGGAACGUGCCCUGGAGUGGGGGAUAACGUAGCGAAAGUUACGCUAAUACCGCAUAUUCUGUGAGCAGGAAAGCAGGGGAUCGCAAGACCUUGCGCUCUGGGAGCGGCCGAUGUCGGAUUAGCUAGUUGGUGGGGUAAAGGCCUACCAAGGCGACGAUCCGUAGCGGGUCUGAGAGGAUGAUCCGCCACACUGGGACCGAGACACGGCCCAGACUCCUACGGGAGGCAGCAGUGGGGAAUUUUGGACAAUGGGCGAAAGCCUGAUCCAGCCAUGCCGCGUGAGUGAAGAAGGCCUCGGUUGUAAG
rnacentral:rRNA from 1 species